ACCAAAUCUAGCCCACAAACUAAACCUUAAGUUAAAACUAAAACUAUAAAAAAAAAUAAAACAUUUACUAUAUUAAAGUAUAGGAGAUAGAAAUAUUUAUUUGGCGCAAUAGAGAUUUAAGUACCGUAAGGGAACGAGUGAAAGAAAAUAUUAAAAGUAAAAUAUAGCAAAGUUUAUUUCUUGUACCUUUUGCAUAAUGAUUUAACUAGAAUAAAUUUAGCAAAGCGAACUUUAGUUAAACACCCCGAAACCAGACGAGCUAUUCAUGAACAGCUAAAAGAGCUAACUCAUCUAUGUAGCAAAAUAGUGAGAUGAUUUAUGAAUAGUGGUGACAUGCCUACCGAGCCUGGUGAUAGCUGGUUAUCCAGAUAAGAAUUUUAGUUCAACUUUAAAUUUACCUAAUAAAUAUAAAAUUUUAAUGUAAAUUUAAAUAUUAAUCUGUAGAGGUACAGCUCUACAGAACAAGACUACAACCUUAAUUAGAGAGUAAAUUUUAUAACAACCAUAGUUGGCUUAAAAGCAGCCACCAAUUAAGAAAGCGUUCAAGCUCGACAAUUAAAUCAAUACUUAAUUCAAAAAAUUAUAUUAACCCCUAACUUGAUUACUGGAUUAUUCUACUAAAUGUAGAAGAAAUACUGUUAAUAUGAGUAAUAAGAUCUUAGAUCUCCAAACACACGUGUAUAUCAGCCCGAAUACCUACUGAUAUUUAACAAUUAAAUAAAUCUAUACACAAAUAAAUGAUUUUUUAUUAUAUUGUUAACCCAACACCGGAGUGUAUAUUAAGGAAAGAUUAAAAAAAGUAAAAGGAACUCGGCAAACAUUAACCCCGCCUGUUUACCAAAAACAUCACCUCUAGCAUUAUCAGUAUUAGAGGCACUGCCUGCCCAGUGACAUUAGUUAAACGGCCGCGGUAUCCUGACCGUGCAAAGGUAGCAUAAUCAUUUGUUCCUUAAUUAGGGACUUGUAUGAAUGGCCUCACGAGGGUUUAACUGUCUCUUACUUUUAAUCAGUGAAAUUGACCUUCCCGUGAAGAGGCGGGAAUACUAAAAUAAGACGAGAAGACCCUAUGGAGCUUAAAUUAAAUUAUCCAACAAACCUAACUUAAAUCCAACAGGAAUAAUUAAACUUUAACUGGAUAAUAAAUUUUGGUUGGGGUGACCUCGGAGCAUAACUUAACCUCCGAGCAGUUAAAACUCAGACUUACCCGUCAAAGUGGAACUAUUAAUUGAUCCAAUCUUAUUGAUCAACGGAACAAGUUACCCUAGGGAUAACAGCGCAAUCCUAUUUGAGAGUCCAUAUCGACAAUAGGGUUUACGACCUCGAUGUUGGAUCAGGACAUCCUAAUGGUGCAGCAGCUAUUAAAGGUUCGUUUGUUCAACGAUUAAAGUCCUACGUGAUCUGAGUUCAGACCGGAGAAAUCCAGGUCGGUUUCUAUCUAUUUAAAAAUUUCUCCCAGUACGAAAGGACAAGAGAAAUGGAGCCUACCCUAAAGAGCGCUCCUACAGACUAACAGAUGAUACCAUCUUAAUCUGAAUAACUUUUAAUAUUCAUAAUUCUAGAUCAGAAUUC
rnacentral:rRNA from 1 species